GACAUUGGCGCAUCGUUUAGGAAAAUCUCCAGAGUGGUUUAUGCUCGAAAAUCUGAAGUUACGGUUAAAAAACUGAAAAUUUUAUUGUGAAAUUGACAAAAUGAGAUUAGGGGGGUAGGGCACUAAAAGAAAAAUUUUGACCAUUUUAAAGAGAUUGUGACGGGCAACGACUAUAUAGGUGUUGUAGAAGAGACAUUGGCGCAUCGUUUAAGAAAAUCUCCAGAGUGGUUUAUGUUCGAAAAUCUGAAGUUACGGUUAAAAAACUGAAAAUUUUAUUGUGAAAUUUACAAAAUGAGAUUAGGGGGGUAGGGCACUAAAAGAAAAAUUUGGACCAUUUUAAAGAGAUUGUGACGGGCAACGACUAUAUAGGUGUUGUAGAGGAGACAUUGGCGCAUCGUUUAAGAAAAUCUCCAGAGUGGUUUAUGUUCGAAAUUCUGAAGUUACGGUUAAAAAACUGAAAAUUUUAUUGUGAAAUUUACAAAAUGAGAUUAGGGGGGUAGGGCACUAAAAGAAAAAUUUGGACCAUUUUAAAGAGAUUGUGACGGGCAACGACUAUAUAGGUGUUGUAGAGGAGACAUUGGCGCAUCGUUUAAGAAAAUCUCCAGAGUGGUUUAUGUUCGAAAAUCUGAAGUUACGGUUAAAAAAAUGAAAUUGUGAAAUUGACAAAAUGAGAUUAGGGGGGUAGUGCAAUUUAAGUUAAUUUUGGACCAUUUUAAAGAGAUUGUGACGGGCAACGACUAUAUAGGUGUUGUGGAAGAGACAUUGGCGCAUCGUUUAAGAAAAUCUCCAGAGUGGUUUAUGUUCGAAAAUCUGAAGUUACGGUUAAAAAACUGAAAAUUUUAUUGUGAAAAUGACAAAAUGAGAUUAGGGGGGUAGGGCACUAAAAGAAAAAUUUGGACCAUUUUAAAGAGAUUGUGACGGGCAACGACUAUAUAGGUGUUGUAGAGGAGACAUUGGCGCAUCGUUUAAGAAAAUCUCCAGAGUAGUUUAUGUUCGAAAAUCAGAAGUUUCGGUUAAAAAACUGAAAAUUUUAUUGUGAAAUUGACCAAAUGAGAUUUGGGGGGUAGGGCACUAAAAGAAAAAUUUGGACCAUUUUAAAGAGAUUGUGACGGGCAACGACUAUAUAGGUGUUGUAGAGGAGACAUUGGCGCAUCCUUUAAGAAAAUCUCCAGAGUGGUUUAUGUUCGAAAAUCUGAAGUUACGGUUAAAAAACUGAAAUUGUGAAAUUGACAAAAUGAGAUUAGGGGGGUAGGCCAAUUUAAGUUAAUUUUGGACCAAUUUCAAGAGAUUGUGACGGGCAACGACUAUAUAGGUGUUGUGGAAGAGACAUUGGCGCAUCGUUUAAGAAAAUCUCCAGAGUGGUUUAUGUUCGAAAAUCUGAAGUUGCGGUUAAAAAAAUGAAAUUGUGAAAUUGACAAAAUGAAAUUAGGGGGGUAGGGCAAUUUAAGUUAAUUUUGGACCAUUUUAAAGAGAUUGUGACGGGCAACGACUAUAAAGGUGUUGUGGAAGAGACAUUGGCGCAUCGUUUAAGAAAAUCUCCAGAGUGGUUUAUGUUCGAAAAUCUGAAGUUACAGUUAAAAAACUGAAAAUUUUAUUGAGAAAAUGACAAAAUGAGAUUAGGGGGGUAGGGCACUAAAAGAAAAAUUUGGACCAUUUUAAAGAGAUUGUGACGGGCAACAACUAUAUAGGUGUUGUAGAGGAGACAUUGGCGCAUCGUUUAAGAAACUCUCCAGAGUGGUUUAUGUUCGAAAAUCUGAAGUUACGGUUAAAAAAAUGAAAUUGUGAAAUUGACAAAAUGAGAUUAGGGGGGUAGUGCAAUUUAAGUUAAUUUUGGACCAUUUUAAAGAGAUUGUGACGGGCAACGACUAUAUAGGUGUUGUGGAAGAGACAUUGGCGCAUCGUUUAAGAAAAUCUCCAGAGUGGUUUAUGUUCGAAAAUCUGAAGUUACGGUUAAAAAACUGAAAAUUUUAUUGUGAAAAUGACAAAAUGAGAUUAGGGGGGUAGGGCACUAAAUGAAAAAUUUGGACCAUUUUAAAGAGAUUGUGACGGGCAACGACUAUAUAGGUGUUGUAGAGGAGACAUUGGCGCAUCGUUUAAGAAAAUCUCCAGAGUAGUUUAUGUUCGAAAAUCAGAACUUUCGGUUAAAAAACUGAAAAUUUUAUUGUGAAAUUGACAAAAUGAGAUUUGGGGGGUAGGGCACUAAAAGAAAAAUUUGGACCAUUUUAAAGAGAUUGUGACGGGCAACGACUAUAUAGGUGUUGUAGAAGAGACAUUGGCGCAUCGUUUAAGAAAAUCUCCAGAGUGGUUUAUGUUCGAAAAUCUGAAGUUACGGUUAAAAAACUGAAAUUGUGAAAUUGACAAAAUGAGAUUAGGGGGGUAGGCCAAUUUGAGUUAAUUUUGGACCAAUUUCAAGAGAUUGUGACGGGCAACGACUAUAUAGGUGUUGUAAAGGAGACAAUGGCGCAUCGUUUAAGAAAAUCUCCAGAGUGGUUUAUGUUCGAAAAUCUGAAGUUACGGUUAAAAAACUGAAAAUUUUAUUGUGAAAUUGAUAAAAUGAGAUUAGGGGGGUACGGCACUAAAAGAAAAAUUUGGACCAUUUUAAAGAGAUUGUGACGGGCAACGACUAUAUAGGUGUUGUAGAGGAGACAUUGGCGCAUCCUUUAAGAAAAUCUCCAGAGUGGUUUAUGUUCGAAAAUCUGAAGUUACGGUUAAAAAACUGAAAAUUUUAUUGUGAAAUUGACAAAAUGAGAUUAGGGGGGUAGGGCAAUUUAAGUUAAUUUUGGACCAUUUUAAAGAGAUUGUGACGGGCAACGACUAUAUAGGUGUUGUGGAAGAGACAUUGGCGCAUCGUUUAAGAAAAUCUCCAGAGUGGUUUAUGUUCGAAAAUCUGAAGUUACGGUUAAAAAACUGAAAAUUUUAUUGUGAAAUUGACAAAAUGAGAUUAGGGGGGUAGGGCACUAAAAGAAAAAUUUGGACCAUUUUAAAGAGAUUGUGACGGGCAACGACUAUAUAGGUGUUGUAGAAGAGACAUUGGCGCAUCGUUUAAGAAAAUCUCCAGAGUGGUUUAUGUUCGAAAAUCUGAAGUUACGGUUAAAAAACUGAAAAUUUAUUGUGAAAUUGACAAAAUGAGAUUAGGGGGGUAGGGCACUAAAAGAAAAAUUUGGACCAUUUUAAAGAGAUUGUGACGGGCAACGACUAUAUAGGUGUUGUAGAAGAGACAUUGGCGCAUCGUUUAAGAAAAUCUCCAGAGUGGUUUAUGUUCGAAAAUCAGAAGUUGCGGUUAAAAAACUGAAAAUUUUAUUGUGAAAUUGACAAAAUGAGAUUAGGGGGGUAGGGCACUAAAAGAAAAAUUUGGACCAUUUUAAAGAGAUUGUGACGGGCAACGACUAUAUAGGUGUUGUAGAGGAGACAUUGGUGCAUCGUUUAAGAAAAUCUCCAGAGUGGUUUAUGUUCGAAAAUCUGAAGUUACGGUUAAAAAACUGAAAAUUUUAUUGUGAAAUUGACAAAAUGAGAUUAGGGGGGUAGGGCACUAAAAGAAAAAUGUUGACCAUUUUAAAGAGAUUGUGACGGGCAACGACUAUAUAGGUGUUGUAGAGGAGACAUUGGCGCAUCGGGUGAACGUAUAUUUAUCUCCGAGCUUCGUUGAGUAUAAUAGGGUAAUAGCUAAACUUCUGAUAAAUUUUGUCAAAUUAUUUGACUGAGAAAAUUUCAAUUUGUUUUUUUUACAAAUAAUGGAAAAUAUGAGAGAACAGUAAUA